UUAGUCUGUUGUUUAAAUUCUGUUAUCUACAAGGUUUUUUAUGUUGUUCUUUUGUUACCACAGUGAUUCCCCAUUCUUAACUAAAUGUUCCUAAGUAUAUAUUGUGUACUGUAUGUACCUAGUUUAGUGUUUUUAAACAAACAACAACGAUACAGCGAAACAGAAUGUAAGCUCGCGAGAUCAGGUGGUUCGUACGAGGCUAAGUUCCUGGUACAAAAAAGGUUGAGAAACACUGACCUGGUCCUUUGAAAAUUGAGUGAUAAACAUUAGUUUUUUUGUUUUCUACUGCCCUCUAGUGGCGCUAAAAAGCUUGAACUCAAAGAACACUUCCUCAGUACCAAAUCGCUCUUCCCCCUCAACUCACUCUCACAAAGCUCAUCAGCCUGCCUGCACAAAUCUGUGUGUAUUGCCUCAGCACAUUCUCCCAUUUACCGUUAUUCACACGCAGCAGCUCUGCUUGCUCCUAAAACGGAUGCCAAGAGAGCCCUGUAGGCUCUGGUCAAACGUAGUGCUCUAUAUAAGGAAUAGGGUUCCAUUUGAGAUGUGCAACCAGUGUGUUCACUUCCUGUGUGAUUAAGGGCCACUGAAUGUUAUGUUAAAAAAUGAUAUUUUGAAGAUUUAAAAGUAGAUCUCUUUAUUUUGUUGUUCUAUUCUUUACUGUCUGAACCCAGUGUUUUAUAGGAAGGAACUGUGGUUUAAAGCAAUAUCCUGAAAAAGCUAUUUUGUCCAACAAUUGUUUUCAAGAAAACAGGAACAAAUGCAACCCUUAAACUCAACAAGUGCUUAMAUGUAUAUUGGUAACAYCUAGAAAUAUAUUUGAUAUUGUAUUCUGAUUACAAUAAUUUCUUGUUGGACAAGACUUUACAUUUUAUACAUUGGUUUCAGGUGUCAUUUGAUUAAGGCUGACUACAUGCUUAACCAAUCAUAUUCCUAAAUAGUUACUACGACGAUCAUCUAAACRUGUUGUUCUUUUUGUAUGCCUUUUAACUGACUGUACAAUCAGCUGCAAUAAAGURACACGUGACAUGGA